rnacentral:rRNA from 1 species
UUGGCUCAGAAGCAGCCACCAUUUAAAGAGUGCGUAAUAGCUCACUGGUCGAGAGGCCCUGCGCCGAAGAUUCCCGGGGCUAAAGUAUGGAACCGAAGCUACGGAUGCGGUACUUGUACCGCGUGGUAGAGGAGCGUUCCCAUUGGGUUGAAGUCGUCCUGGAAGGGACGGUGGACUGGUGGGAAGUGAGAAUGUUGGCAUGAGUAGCGAAAAGAUAGGUGAGAAUCCUAUCCACCGAAAGCAUAAGGAUUCCUGAGCAACGAUCGUCGUCUCAGGGUAAGUCGGGACCUAAUCCGAGGCAUGGAGCGUAGGAGAUGGACAACUGGUUGAUAUUCCAGUACCGGCAGCAAUCGUUUGAACGAUGGAGUGACGCAGGAAGGCAGGUCCGCGCGAGAAUGGUAGAUCGCGUACAAGCGUGCAGGCUGGUGCACAGGCAAAUCCGUGUACUGAGGCUGAGGCGUGAUGUGGAGGGAACUUGUUCCCGAAGGGAUUGAGCCUACGCUGCCGAGAAAAGCUUCUAGUGAGAAAGCUGCCGCCCGUACCGUAAACCGACACAGGUAUGCGGGGAGAGAAUCCUAAGGUGCGCGGGAGAACCCUCGUUAAGGAACUCGGCAAAAUGUACCCGUAACUUCGGGAUAAGGGUAGCCACAGUGGUGAAGGGACUUGCUCCUGGAGCCUAGUGUGGUCGCAGAGAAGAGGCCCAAGCGACUGUUAACCAGAAACACAGGUGCCUGCGAAAGAGAAAUCUGAUGUAUAGGUGCUGACACCUGCCCAGUGCUGGAAGGUUAAAGAAGGAUGUCCGGGUUCGACCCAAAGCAUUUGACUGAAGCCCCAGUGAACGGCGGCCGUAACUAUAACGGUCCUAAGGUAGCGAAAUUCCUUGUCGGGUAAGUUCCGACCCGCACGAAAGGUGUAACGAUUUGGGCACUGUCUCAACGAGGGACCCGGUGAAAUUGAAAUACCUGUGAAGAUGCAGGUUACCCGCGACUGGACAGAAAGACCCCAUGGAGCUUUACUGUAACCUAAUAUUGGGUUCUGAUAUUCGACGCACAGGAUAGGUGGGAGGCUUGGAGCAUGGUCCUCUGGGAUCAUGGGAGCCGCCGUUGGGAUACCACCCUUCGAAUAUCGGGAUUCUAACCGCAGGAGCAACGAUCCUCGGGACAGUGUUAGGCGGGCAGUUUGACUGGGGCGGUCGCCUCCUAAAGGGUAACGGAGGCGCCCAAAGGUUCCCUCAGCGCGGACGGAAACCGCGCGACGAGUGUAAAGGCAGAAGGGAGCUUGACUGCGAGCCAAACACGGCGAGCAGGUACGAAAGUAGGGCUUAGUGAUCCGGUGGCAUCCAAGUGGAAGGGCCAUCGCUCAACGGAUAAAAGCUACCCUGGGGAUAACAGGCUAAUCUCUCCCAAGAGUCCAUAUCGACGGGGAGGUUUGGCACCUCGAUGUCGGCUCAUCACAUCCUGGGGCUGAAGUCGGUCCCAAGGGCUGGGCUGUUCGCCCAUUAAAGUGGUACGUGAGCUGGGUUCAGAACGUCGUGAGACAGUUCGGUCCCUAUCCAUCGCGGGCGUAAGAGAUUUGAAGGGGGCUGCUCCUAGUACGAGAGGACCGGAGUGGACGGACCGCUGGUGUACCAAUUAUCCUGCCAAGGGUAUAGUUGGGUAGCUACGUCCGGAACGGAUAAACGCUGAAAGCAUCUAAGCGUGAAACCAUCCUUAAGAUGAGAUCUCUCAUAGAGUAAUCUAGUAAGACACCUUGAAGAUUACAAGGUUGAUAGGCAGGAUGUGUAAGCACAGCAAUGUGUUAAGCUGACCUGUACUAAUAUGUCGAGGGCUUGACUUA